AUUGUUCAACGGCCGCGGUAUCCUAACCGUGCGAAGGUAGCGUAAUCACUUGUUCUUUAAAUGAGGACUAGUAUGAACGGCUCCACGAAGGCUAUACUGUCUCCCUUAUCUAAUCAGUUAAACUAAUCUCCCCGUGAAGAAGCGGGGAUUCACAUAUAAGACGAGAAGACCCUAUGGAGCUUAAAACACCUCUAAACAUUUGACCUCCACACUACUAUUUUCAGAAAUCUUCACAAAGCCCGUCAUUUUGUUUUAAGUUUUAGGUUGGGGUGACCGCGGAGAAUAACCUAACCUCCACGUAGAAAGAACUUUCUUUUCUAAGCAAAAAGCUACAUCUUUAUGCAUCAACAUAUUGACCUAAUUGACCCAAUUAUUUGAUCAACGA
rnacentral:rRNA from 1 species